CACGUAGUUAGCCGUGGCUUGCUCCUUAGCUACCGUCAUUUUUCUUCACUAAGAACAGAAGUUUACAAUCCGAAAACCGUCUUCCUCCACGCGGCGUUGCUGCAUCAGGGUUUCCCCCAUUGUGCAAUAUUCCCCACUGCUGCCUCCCGUAGGAGUCUGGGCCGUGUCUCAGUCCCAAUGUGGCCGUUCAACCUCUCAGUCCGGCUAUGGAUCGUUGACUUGGUAGGCCGUUACCCCACCAACUAUCUAAUCCAACGCGAGCCCAUCCUUCGGCACCUCAGUUUUGGUAUUUCUAUCAUGCGGUAAAAAUACGUUAUGCGGUAUUACUGUCCGUUUCCAGACACUAUCCCCCUCCGAAGGGCAGGUUGCUCACGCGUUACUCACCCGUCCGCCACUCAGCCAUAUCAUUCUUCAUUCCGAAGAAAUCUGAAUUCAAGCUUCGUUCGACUUGCAUGUGUUAGGCACGCCGCCAGCGUUCGUCCUGAGCCAGGAUCAAAACUCU
rnacentral:rRNA from 1 species